GUCCAAGCGAAUAUAGUUAUAACCCUGUUGAGGUACGUGACGUCACCAAUUAGCCCUUUAUACGUCAUCAAUUUGGAACAGUAAUUCCCACGAACUUAAUAAAUAUACCUGGACUGCUAAUGCAUUACAACACCCCAAUACCCAAACAUGACCACUGCCUGGCGGCCGCCAUUCUUAUAGUGGUUGUGUCCUUUUGAUGUUGGUCACUAACAUUUUCAGUGUUGCCAACAAAAAAUAUAUUAAAUAAAGGUAACGAAUUUUACGCUGAUGAUCUGGUAAUCCUUUGCCCAGGGAAAGACGCUGUCUCAAUGCAAUGAUGAGAGCCUUGCGUAUGGUGGACCUAUGGUGCCUCUCGGGGAGUCUCUGGAUUAACCCCAAAAAAGCAGAGCUCCUACUAUCAAAUUGGAAAUCAAUUUAAAUUUAACCAGGUAAACGAAGACAGCGUAAAUAAAGCCAUAUCCCAAAUUAAAAGUACUGCUAUGGGUUCUGACUGCAUUACCAUAAAAAUGAUUAAUCUCGUAACACCUCAUAUUUCCCCGCAUCUAACAUUUAUAAUAAACUAUUGUAUUUCCAUGGGUGUUUUCCCGGAUGCUUGAAAAAAGCUGAUAUAAUCCCUGUCCCUAAGAUUGGAAAUCCAACGGAAUUAUCGCACUAUCGUCCUAUAAGCAUACUCCCUGCCAUGUCCAAAAUUUUUGAAAGAAUUGUUAAUGAUCAGCUUAAUUAAUUCUGCUUAACUAAAAAUUUGCUUCCAGUAACACAGUCGGGUUUUCGUGCAAAGCAUAGUACCAGUACAGCUCUUCUUCAUAUUUGUGAUGAUAUAUUUAAAGCUCUUGAUCAGAAAAAAACAACAGUUUUAGUAUUGCUGGACUUUAGUCGUGCAUUUGACACACUGGAUCAUUUAAUUUUAUUGGCAAAGCUCCAAUAUUUUGGGCUACAUACUUCUGCUCUUAAACUGCUAAAAAAUUAUCUUUUAAAUAGACGUCAAAGGGUAAGAAUUAAUUCUAUUCUAUCUGAAUAUUUGCAGUUGGAUCAAGGUGUCCCGCAGGGAAGUAUUCUUGGCCCCUUACUCUUUUUGUUAUAUCUAUGUGACUUUCAUAAAUUCCUUCGAGUUUGUGAAUCGCACCAGUACGCCGAUGACACACAGAUCUAUCGUUCAUUUAACUUUAUGGAGGCCAUAGAAGCUGUGAAUGCUAUUAAUUUGGAUCUUUUAGCCAUAUCUGACUUGUGUAAGAGUCACAGACUCGUAUUGAAUCCUUGUCUUUGGCAAGCCCCUUCCAGAUACCGUGAAGAUCAGCAUAGAUGGAUCUCCUUUACCUCCUUCUAAUAACCAGAAGAAUUUGGGGAUUGUCCUUGACACGGAUCUCAGGUUUGAGGGGCAUGUGUCGAAUUUGUUGAGGGCAUGUUUUUAUAAAUUAAAAAUACUCUAUAUGAACAAACAGUUUUUGACAGCUGAUAUUAAACUACAUCUUUGUGAUACAUUAAUUUUGUCAAUUGUUAGUUAUGCUCAAGUUCUGUUUUGGCCUGCCUUGUAUCAACGUGAAAAGAAUAGCCUUCGGAAAAUUCAAAACGCGUGCCUCAAGUUUAGUUUUGGUAUGAGUAAAUGCGACCAUGUCACUCCCCUGUUGGUUAGAUCAGGGUGGCUUUCUUUGGAUGAACGCUAUGUACUGCAAAUGGCUACACUAGUCCAUAAAGUUGUGCUUUUCGGACAACCAGCUUAUUUAUCUAAUAAAUUAAUUUCAAACUCCAAAAUUCACGGCAGAACCACACGAAACGCGCAUAAUUUUGUUAUUCCAGGGCAUAAAACUGCAAAAUUCCAGGGCACCUGAAGUUAAGUCUCUUCUCUCUGUAACAACCUUUAAACAAAAAACUAAAAAUAAUAUUUUUCAAAACCGACAUAGGUAAUCAUCUCUGGUCCUUCAUUGAAGUACCUACUAUGAUUUAUUGUCCAUAGCAGAUUGUAUUAUAUUUAUUAUUUUACAUUUUUAUUCUGCUAUUAUGUUCUAUAAAAUUUUGCAUUUGUGCUUAUUAAUAUGGUUAGAUAGAGUAGCUUUAAGCUAAAUCUCGCCAUUACUUAUUUAGUAGUUAAGAAAACAUGUAUUUUUAUGCUGAAUAAAGAAGACAUUUAUUAUUAUUAUUAUUAUUAUUAUUAUUAUUAUUAUUAUUAUUAUUAUUCACGAGGAGACGUAACUUUGGCACGCCCCCUGUUAUAUCUGACAUCCCUCAUCAUCACUUUCUUCACGAAUUAACACAUCAUCUAAAAUAUUAUUGGAUUUAAAUCUAGUUCUCAAGAAAUUGCUUCUUUAGGAUAUUCAAAUCUGCAUUUUGAAGGUUUAAUUAGUCAAUGUCAACAACGUCAUUUCUGUCAAUUUUGCCAAGCAAGAUGGCCGACAUACAAUUCCGAUCCCCAGCAUGCGAGGAAGGGAGCGUUGAUGUGUUAGAGCAAGACAGAUUUAUGACCGUAACAAUGUAUAAGACAACGAAGCACAUGUGACAUUUUGUUCCAGGCUUUUGGCAGUCAUUUUUUAUGUGUUUGAAACUCUUGAAAUUUGUUCUAGUUUUAAAGAAACGUUUCAUUUUUUGACUAUACAGGAUGUGACAUAAAUGAAGGAGUGUGGAUACACCAUGUGUUAAAAAAAGACACACUUACAGCAGAAACAAUGUCUGACAAAGAAGGGCAUACUAUACUUUAUCAGCCACCCACUUUUAAACAAAUACCAAUUUAAAAAUAGACAAUAGAAAAAAAUAUAAAACAAGACCAUCUCAUCUGG